rnacentral:rRNA from 1 species
UACGUAGGCAGCGAGCGUUGUUCGGAGUUACUGGGCGUAAAGGGUGUGUAGGCGGUUGUUUAAGUUUGGUGUGAAAUCUCCCGGCUCAACUGGGAGGGUGCGCCGAAUACUGAAUGACUUCGAGUGCGGGAGAGGAAAGUGGAAUUCCUGGUGUAGCGGUGAAAUGCGUAGAUAUCAGGAGGAACACCGGUGGUGUAGACGGCUUUCUGGACACUUACUGACGCUGAGACGCGAAAGCGUGGGGAGCAAACAGG